rnacentral:lncRNA from 1 species
ACCCGCCUAGCGCAGGCGCCCAGCCAGCGCAGGAAGACAUGACUUACCUGACGGCACCCCAGGAACUGCUGGCGGCACCAUAGUAGAGACAGCAGCUUGAAAAGAGGAGUCCAUCACCUGCAGCGCAGUUCCCAUGGCAACUGGAGCGUCACACGCCACCUGCUGGAUGGAUCCGGCAACUGAACCCAAAGCCUGAAGCAGCAGUGGAGAGAUGAAGGGCCAAUGCUCCAGGACAGGAGGCUGCCGAGACAGGUAAGGAGAGGGGGGUUGGGGGAAGGGAGGAGGGUGGAAGGGCAAAGAAGGUCAGCAAGGAGGAGGGGGGGACAAUAAAGAAAGAGGGGGGAACAAAAAGAAAAGGGAGGAACCAACAAAAGGAAUAUAUAAACUUGCUUUUCUUUAAUUAUGAUUUUUCUUACAUCUCCUCUGCACCAGGGUUCUUAGGGCGAAACCAUCACUUCUCUAAAAAUUACAUUACUGAACAAAAUCACUGAAAUUCACCUAUAACUUGUGUUAAGGGAACAAUAUAGGCACCCAGACCACUUAAUUUCAAUGAAUUAAGUUUUAUGGUGCGAGGAGGUCUCGACCUGUGACCUACCUCCAGGGGUUAAACUAUUAAUAAACUUGUGAGUCCUCUGCAGUGGGAGGGGGUUGAUGAAGAGACCCUAAAGAUAAGGAAUAAGAUAUGCAGAUGCUGGGAAUAAGACAUGCAGAAGGGGGGAGUGAGACAUGCAAGUGGGGAGUAAAAACUAUAAAAGUGGAGCUAGAGACAAAAAUGUGUGUAAGAUACAGAAAAUCGCAGUUAAGUGGAAAAAAGGGGGUUAAAGGUGUAAGAAACACCCCAGGUUCCAAGUAAACUACGUCCACCUAUGUAAUCGGCAAUAUACUAAAUAAAAAUUAAUCCCUGGUGGUUCAGUGAUGGUGUCUAUGGUCUGCACCUCCGGCUGGUCUUGCAUCUCUGAGGAAAUCAGAAGACAACCACCGGGAUCCUAGCCUGCACUCUGACUACCUCACUAAUCACCAGACCAGAACGGACAAUUUAUACAGCCUGGACCAGGUGAAAAACUAGACCAUACACUUCACCACUAGACCACAAGGGAUUCAUUAACCCCUCCCUCCCCCCAUCAGGCCACCAAAAUUCAUAUCACUAUGUGUUAUAUAGGUGAGGAGCUCUGUGAUACCAUAUUAGGCACCUUACUGAGAGUUUUACUGUGGAGGAGCUUUUUGAUACACUUAUUGCGAAUUACUGCAAGUUUAAUAAUUGUGGAGCUCUGUGAUUAUAUGAUACACACCACUUGUUACUGUGAGUUUUUUGCUGUGGAGCUCUAUGAUACGCUUAUGCCUCGUUUCCACUGAGCGGAACGGUUCAGGUCGGUUUGGUAUGGUACGCUAUUUUGAGUGUUUCUAUUAUGAAAGUGGCCCAUACAACCGAACCGCACCAUUCCUGGUCCCCCUUCAGAUGAAGGUCCAUCGGAAAUGGUACAGUACGGUUAGGGCGGAGCUACUAGCGUCACACUAUACAAUCCAUUGAUUGGCGGACAGGAAAACGUCAAUGCUCACGACAAAUGACACGCUAGGCAUUUGGUCUAAACCCCGCAUGGCCCCUGCCGGUCCGACUUGCAGUGGAAACGCUCAUCUGAAUAGGCCUCCAAACUGUACCAACCCAAACCGUUCCGCUCAGUGGAAACGAGGCAUUAUAUACACCGCAUAUUACUUUGAGUUUUAAUAACCAGAAGGUCGAGGCUUAUCCCAUAGUUGUAGUCCACAACAAAAAUCUCAAAGUAAAUGGGAAAAACCCAGAGCUUCAAAGCAAUACAACUCACGGUAUUGUGUGACAUAGACGAGUAUCAAGAAGCUGCAAAGAAAGAAUAUUUUUAUUUGUAUGUGGUGCCUCUAUGUAAAUGUACUGUAAGGAAAACAAAAAAAUGAACAUUUUAUUUGUAAUUUGUUGCAUUUGUCCAAAUACGAAUGCAAAUUCAAGAGUCAAGGAACAGGAGCAGACUGACUUUCCCACCCUGGUUUGGGUUGUUUAUGGUUUAGUGUCUUUUUGUGUUUCUGUUUUGUCACAGCUUGACGAAUCCUGGACAGCGCAGAGGGAAAAAGGAUAAGACGAAAAGUCGCUUUGGGGAGAUGACAGCCUGCACCGGAGCUGAUGGCAAGGCUUUUGGAAAAAGGUCGGAGAAAUGUCUGUUGGGCAUCUGCUCAACAGCUGACAAGGUUUUGGAUAAUGUUAAAGAUUCCCUCUAGAAUGUAAGCUCAUUGAGCAGGGCCCUUCACCUCUCUGUUCCUGUACUUCCAGUUGUCUGGUUACAAUUACAUGUGUUUUAGUCCACCCAUUGUACAGCACUAUGGAAUCUGAUGGCGC